CCGAAGCUCUAGCAUCACUAAUGCGGGGUUGGGGCGCUUUCCAGACGGGUUGAAGAAUGACCGUAACGAGAUGAGAAGAGUAUGGGAGUGAGAAUGUAGGGAUAAGGAGCGAGAUGUAGGUGAGAAUACCACAGGACGUAAACCCAAGGUUU
rnacentral:rRNA from 1 species